GCCACGUCAGCAGCCACGUCAGCAGCCCGGUCAGCAGUCUCGGCUAACUAGGACACACCGCCUGGCAAAGAAACGCUGACACGGGACGGGCCACGUGGGCGAUCCGCGUGCGCGCGAUCGAACGACCCAGAUCCAUUCCCGCGCGCACGGACGGCCCAGAUCGCAUCGCGAUGGACAGUCCAGAUUUAAUCCCAAAUAAAUCGCGACCGGACAGUCCAGAUUUAAUCUUGAUGGACGGUUGAGAUUAAAAGGAGAAGGGUAUAAAUAACCCCACCCACACCUGACCACAAAACCCUAGCCGCCAGUGCCUCGUCGGAGAAGAAGAACCAGACGCCAGAGGAGCCGGCCGCCGCCACCUGCCGCCGCACUGGAGAAUUUUCCGACCUCCAAUCGAGGUAAAUUUUCUCCUCUUGGCUCGUUUUUCGAUGUUGAAUCCGCUAAUGACCAAACCGGAGCCAAACCACCAGCCAAUCGGCUGGAAAACCCUGCCGAAGUCCAGCGGUGCCGCCGCGGCUUCCCUCUGUUUUUGGCUCUGAUGAGGCCCUUCCCGGUCUCCGUUCGAUGCAAUUUUUAUACCAUUGUGAUCACUGUUCUUUUCUCUACAGGUUGACCGGAGCAAAACAUCAAAAUGCGACUCACGCCGGAGAAGCCGUCGUACCCGAGA
rnacentral:lncRNA from 1 species